rnacentral:rRNA from 1 species
AACAAACGCUGGCGGCGUGCCUAAUACAUGCAAGUCGAACGGGGAAAGCUUGCGUGUGAGUACUAGUGGCGCGCGGGUGAGGAACGCGUGGCUAAUCUACCUUAGAGUUGGGUAUAGGUUGUCUAAAGAUUAGCUAAGACCGCAUAAGACCACGAGAGCUGCUGCUUUUUAGGUGAAAGGUUUUUCCCUCUGAGGUGAGUCCGCCUAAGGUUAGCUAGUUGGUGGGGUAACGGCUCACUAAGGCGACGAUAUUUAACUAGUCUGAGAGGAUGAUGCGUCAUAGUGAAAGUGAGACACGGUAGAGACUGACGGGAGAGGGAGGAGUAGAGAAUAUUGCAAAAUGGAGGAAACUGAGAUGCCGAGACGGCGCGUGAGAGAUGAAGGCCUUCGGGUCGAAAAGCUCUGUCGCAGGGGAAUAACAGAAUGACGGUACUCUGUAAGAAAGGACCGGCUAACUUCGUG